rnacentral:rRNA from 1 species
UGAACGCUGGCGGCGUGCUUAACACAUGCAAGUCGAACGAAGCACUUAUGACAGGAUCUUCGGAUGAUAGAUUAAGUGACUGAGUGGCGGACGGGUGAGUAACACGUGAGCAACCUGCCCCUCAGAGUGGAAUAACGUUUGGAAACGAACGCUAAUACCGCAUAACACCAUUGGAUGGCAUCAUCCGAUGGUCAAAGAUUUAUCGCUGAGGGAUGGGCUCGCGUCCGAUUAGGUAGUUGGUGAGAUAACAGCCCACCAAGCCGACGAUCGGUAGCCGGACUGAGAGGUUGAACGGCCACAUUGGGACUGAGACACGGCCCAGACUCCUACGGGAGGCAGCAGUGGGGAAUAUUGGGCAAUGGAGGAAACUCUGACGCAGUGACGCCGCGUAUAGGAAGAAGGUUUUCGGAUUGUAAACUAUUGUCUGCAGGGAAGAAACAAGACUGUACCUGCAAAGAAAGCUCCGGCUAACUACGUG